rnacentral:lncRNA from 1 species
CUCUUUUUAAGACUUAGUCAAACUUAUGAGACAUUAACUCCAUUUCAUCUUCCUAUGGAAGUACCUUCCAGAGCCUUCUGACUUCUUCAAAGCUGGGAUGGUAGGGCUCAAGGUCUGACAUGCAGCUUUCAUCUUGGUGGCUCCUUUUACCAUCAUCCGGGAUUCCUCUUUUGUUGGCUCUCCAGGUGCCUCUGUCUUGUUUUUGUUGUUUUCCUCUUUCUUGGGUUAAUCUCCAAGCUUCCUGAAAAUACAGGAAUGAGAGGUGAUUUGGGGGUGGGAAGAACUUGAAUGUGAUGUUUUAUGCUAUUUUUUUUUCGCAUUGGAAGAUCGAAAGAUCUACAUUGGGAUCAUUUUCAUUCAGGUUGUUUAAGCCAUUACUCUAUUUGCCUUCUAGUUUCCAACACUGCUAUUGAAAAGUCUGAAACAGGCUGGGCACGGUGGUGCAUGCCUGUAAUACCAGCGGCUCAGGAGGAGGAGGCAGAAGGAUCGAGAGUUACCUUGUCUCUAAGAAAAAUACAAAAUAGGGCUGGGGGUGUGGCUCAGUGGUUGAGUGACCCUAAGUUCAAUCAAGUACCACGAGUUCAAUCUGUGGUACCCCCCAAAAAUCAAAAAUUCAAAAAAAAAGAAAGUCUGAAAUAUUCUGAUUCUUAUUCCUUUAAUACUUGGUCAGUUUUUGUUUUCUUUCUGGAAGCCUCUACUUCCUUCUUUUUGUUUUUUGAGUUCUAAAAUUUCAGUGAUGAACCUCAGUUUAGACCUCUCCUUUCAUCUAUAUGUGAUGGUGGGCCCUUCAAAUCUAGAAUCACUAGUAAUGUUGUUCUAAGAUUUCCUGCCGGCCCCAUUACUUUGUUGAUGAUUUAUUCCCUUCUAUUUUCAAUGUUUCCUCUUUUUGAAAUCCCAAGUUUCUUGAAUAUUAAACUCUUCUAUUUUAAUCUUCAUUUUGUUUUUAUUAUUCAUAUUUGUGUUCUUUACUCUGCU